UGAAUAGCGGCGAACGGGUGAGGAACACGUGAGGAAUCUGCCUUCUACACUGGGAUAACUCCGGGAAAACCGGGGCUAAUACUGGAUAUGAAACUGGUGGCAUCACCAGGUUUGGAAAGUUUUUCGGUAGAAGAUGACCUCGCGGCCUAUCAGCUUGUUGGUGAGGUAAUGGCUCACCAAGGCGACGACGGGUAGCCGGCCUGAGAGGGCGACCGGCCACACUGGGACUGAGACACGGCCCAGACUCCUACGGGAGGCAGCAGUGGGGAAUAUUGGGCAAUGGAGGAAACUCUGACCCAGCGACGCCGCGUGCGGGAUGAAGGCCUUCGGGUUGUAAACCGCUUUCAGUAGGGAAGAAGCGAAAGUGACGGUACCUACAGAAGAAGCACCGGCUAACUAUGUGCCAGCAGCCGCGGUAAUACAUAGGGUGCAAGCGUUGUCCGGAAUUAUUGGGCGUAAAGAGCUCGUAGGUGGUUCGUUACGUCGGAUGUGAAAAUCUGGGGCUCAACCCCAGACCUGCAUCCGAUACGGUCGAGCUAGAGUUUGGUAGGGGAGACUGGAAUUCCUGGUGUAGCGGUGGAAUGCGCAGAUAUCAGGAGGAACACCAAUGGCGAAGGCAGGUCUCUGGGCCAAUACUGACACUGAGGAGCGAAAGCGUGGGGAGCGAACAGGAUUAGAUACCCUGGUAGUCCACGCCGUAAACGGUGGGCGCUAGUUGUGGGAACCUUCCACGGUUUCUGCGACGCAGCUAACG
rnacentral:rRNA from 1 species